rnacentral:rRNA from 1 species
UACGUAGGGGGCGAGCGUUGUCCGGAAUUAUUGGGCGUAAAGAGCGUGUAGGCGGUUCGGUAAGUCUGCCGUGAAAACCUGGGGCUCAACCCCGGGCGUGCGGUGGAUACUGCCGGGCUAGAGGGUGGUAGAGGCGAGUGGAAUUCCCGGUGUAGCGGUGAAAUGCGCAGAUAUCAGGAGGAACACCAAUGGCGAAGGCAGCACUCUGGGACGUGACUGACGCUGAGACGCGAAAGCGUGGGGAGCAAACAGG